GUGCCAGCAGCCGCGGUAAUACGAAGGGUGCAAACGUUGCUCGGAAUCAUUGGGCGUAAAGCGCACGUAGGCGGCUUCGCAAGUCGGAUGUGAAAUCCCUCGGCUCAACCGAGGACGUGCAUACGAAACUGCGGAGCUUGAGUGCUGAAGAGGAUCGCGGAAUUCCCGGUGUAGAGGUGAAAUUCGUAGAUAUCGGGAGGAACACCAGUGGCGAAGGCGGCGAUCUGGGCAGACACUGACGCUGAGGUGCGAAAGCGUGGGGAGCAAACAGGAUUAGAUACCCUCGUAGUCC
rnacentral:rRNA from 1 species